UACGUAGGGUGCAAGCGUUAAUCGGAAUUACUGGGCGUAAAGCGUGCGCAGGCGGUUUUGUAAGUCUGUCGUGAAAUCCCCCGGGCUCAACCUGGGAAUUGCGAUGGAGACUGCAAGGCUGGAGUCUGGCAGAGGGGGGUAGAAUUCCACGUGUAGCAGUGAAAUGCGUAGAGAUGUGGAGGAACACCGAUGGCGAAGGCAGCCCCCUGGGUCAAGACUGACGCUCAUGCACGAAAGCGUGGGGAGCAAACAGG
rnacentral:rRNA from 1 species